rnacentral:rRNA from 1 species
CCUAGUGUAGCGGUGAAAUGCGUAGAUAUUAGGAGGAACACCAGUGGCGAAGGCGGCUUACUGGACUGUAACUGACGUUGAGGCUCGAAAGCGUGGGGAGCAAACAGGAUUAGAUACCCUGGUAGUCCACGCCGUAAACGAUGAUUACUAGGUGUUGGUUGGUAAGACCAAUCGGUGCCCGUCGCAAACGCAGUAAGUAAUCCACCUGGGGAGUACGUUCGCAAGAAUGAAACUCAAAGGAAUUGACGGGGACCCGCACAAGCGGUGGAGCAUGUGGUUUAAUUCGAAGCAACGCGAAGAACCUUACCAAAUCUUGACAUCCUUCUGACCUAGUAUGUAAAGUACUAUCUCUUCGGAGCAGGAGUGACAGGUGGUGCAUGGUUGUCGUCAGCUCGUGUCGUGAGAUGUUGGGUUAAGUCCCGCAACGAGCGCAACCCUUAUCUUUAGUAGCCAGCAGUAAGAUGGGAACUCUAGAGAGACUGCCGGGGAUAACCCGGAGGAAGGUGGGGAUGACGUCAAAUCAUCAUGCCCCUUAUGAUUUGGGCUACACACGUGCUACAAUGGCGUAAACAAAGGGAAGCGACCCCGUGAGGGUGAGCAAAUCUCAAAAAUAACGUCUCAGUUCGGAUUGUAGUCUGCAACUCGACUACAUGAAGCUGGAAUCGCUAGUAAUCGCGAAUCAGCAUGUCGCGGUGAAUACGUUCCCGGGUCUUGUACACACCGCCCGUCACACCAUGGGAGUCGUGAAUGCCCGAAGUCGGUGACCUAACCGUAAGGGAGGAGCCGCCGAAGGCAGGCAUGAUAACUGGGGUG